rnacentral:sRNA from 1 species
UCAGCUACAGGUGGAUUCAGGUUAAUCCCUAUAAGGAUUAGUCUUAGAUAAGCAGGAAGAAGCAGGCUUUUUGAAACAAGGUCAUGCUCCUUUUUUUGUUUUUUUGCACAGGAAUCAACAAGGAUGUUAUAUAACUUCUAUUUAUAUUCAACUGGCUAGUAGCUGCAGGCAUACAAAACAAGCAAAGGGAGGAAUUUAAUGAGCUCUGAGGGUUUGCUCACCUUCUCAAGCUGGUAGAGACAGCUUGAGAUCUUUUGGUCAUUUUUUUUUUGUUAUGCGUCAGCAAAUGAAGCUAGUGGGUGGAGUGGGUAGGUGGACUGACUGGUUGCCAUGGUUUUCUUCAGUUCCCUUUUCUGUGCU